UCCGAUAUGGUGUAGUGGCUAACAUUAUCGCCUCUCACUGAUCGAACGCGAUAGCCCGGGGUUCGAUUCCCCGUGUCGGAA